rnacentral:rRNA from 1 species
ACGAACGCUGGCGGCAUGCCUAACACCUGCCAGUCGAACGAAGCCUUCGGGCUUAGUGGCGCACGGGUGCGUCACGCGUGGGAAUCUGCCCCUUGCUUCGGAAUAACAGUUAGAAAUGACUGCUAAUACCGGAUGAAGUCUUCGGACCAAAGAUUUAUCGGCAAGGGAUGAGCCCGCGUAGGAUUAGGUAGUUGGUGGGGUAAAGGCCUACCAAGCCGACGAUCCUUAGCUGGUCUGAGAGGAUGAUCAGCCACACUGGGACUGAGACACGGCCCAGACUCCUACGGGAGGCAGCAGUGGGGAAUAUUGGACAAUGGACGCAAGUCUGAUCCAGCAAUGCCGCGUGAGUGAUGAAGGCCUUAGGGUUGUAAAGCUCUUUUACCAGGGAUGAUAAUGACAGUACCUGGAGAAUAAGCUCCGGCUAACUCCGUG